rnacentral:tRNA from 1 species
UCCCAUGGCUCAGACAGUAAAGAAUCUGCCUGAAGUGCAGAAGAUCCAGGUUCAAUCCCUGGGUUGGGAA